CCCAGACUCCUACGGGAGGCAGCAGUGGGGAAUAUUGCACAAUGGGGGGAACCCUGAUGCAGCGACGCCGCGUGGGCGAGGAAGUAUUUCGGUAUGUAAAGCCCUAUCGGCAGGGAAGAAGAAAUGACGGUACCUGAAUAAGAAGCACCGGCUAAAUACGUGCCAGCAGCCGCGGGAAUAAGUAUGGUGCAAGCGUUAUCCGGAUUUACUGAGCGUAAAGGGAGCGCAGGCGGCGCGCCAAGUCUGAUGUGAAACCCCGGGGCUCAACCCCGGGCAUGCAUUGGAAACUGGCGGGCUGGAGUGCCGGAGAGGUAAGCGGAAUUCCUAGUGUAGCGGUGAAAUGCGUAGAUAUUAGGAGGAACACCAGUGGCGAAGGCGGCCUACUGGACGGUGACUGACGCUGAGGCUCGAAAGCGUGGGGAGCAAACAGGAUUAGAUACCCCUGUA
rnacentral:rRNA from 1 species